rnacentral:lncRNA from 1 species
UCAGCUGAUCAGUUGUUUGCUUCUGUCUGAUUUCUUUUGGAGUCGUAAGAGGCCAUUUUGCCUAGUAAAGUUUCUGAUUCUGACAGCUCUUAAUCUGGUACGCUAUUUGUGUCGUUUAUUGUGUGUGUCCACUUGAUUCUGCUCUGCAUUCAGAGUGUGUUAAUUGAUGCGUGAUCUCUAUUGAGUCACCCCUGGUAUUUCUGGUCAUAGCCCACUCCUAAUUGUGGACCCUGGGCACCAGUUGAAAGGUGUAAUAUAGUUGUAUUACUCGUUGGCCCUAGCAUUGUACUUCUUGGUUUCAUUGGUGAUCGUAGCAGGACCUGCUGCAAGAAGAAAGACAAUGACAAGGGGCAAGAAGAAGGCUGCUCAAGCUCAUCCUAAACCUGACGAAGACACAAUUGCAGGAAGAAGGAAGAAUUGAAACGUCCAGUCCAUUUAUCAA